AAAAAGAUAAGCUAAUAAAGCUAUCAGGUUCAUACCCUGAAUAUAAAGGUUUUAAUCCUUUUUUUUUUA
rnacentral:tRNA from 2 species